rnacentral:rRNA from 1 species
GACGGAGGAUGCAAGUGUUAUCCGGAAUCACUGGGCGUAAAGCGUCUGUAGGUGGUUUAAAAAGUCCACUGUUAAAAAUUGAAGCUUAACUUCAAAGAUGCCGUGGAAACUUUUAAACUUGAGUAUGGUAGGGGUAGAGGGAAUUUCCAGUGGAGCGGUGAAAUGCGUAGAUAUUGGAAAGACCACCAAUGGCGAAGGCACUCUACUGGGCCAUUACUGACACUGAGAGACGAAAGCUAGGGGGAGCAAAUGGG